rnacentral:rRNA from 1 species
UACAUAGGGGGCAAGCGUUGUCCGGAUUUAUUGGGCGUAAAGAGCGUGUAGGCGGUUCGGUAGGUCCGUUGUGAAAACUCGAGGCUCAACCUCGAGACGCCGGUGGAAACCAUCAGGCUAGAGUCCGGAAGAGGAGAGUGGAAUUCCUGGUGUAGCGGUGAAAUGCGCAGAUAUCAGGAAGAACACCCGUGGCUAAGGCGGCUCUCUAGUACGGUACUGACGCUGAGACGCGAAAGCGUGGGGAGCGAACAGG